rnacentral:rRNA from 1 species
CAGGACGAACGCUGGCGGCGUGCCUAAUACAUGCAAGUCGAACGCUUUUUCUUUCACCGGAGCUUGCUCCACCGAAAGAAAAAGAGUGGCGAACGGGUGAGUAACACGUGGGUAACCUGCCCAUCAGAAGGGGAUAACACUUGGAAACAGGUGCUAAUACCGUAUAACACUAUUUUCCGCAUGGAAGAAAGUUGAAAGGCGCUUUUGCGUCACUGAUGGAUGGACCCGCGGUGCAUUAGCUAGUUGGUGAGGUAACGGCUCACCAAGGCAACGAUGCAUAGCCGACCUGAGAGGGUGAUCGGCCACACUGGGACUGAGACACGGCCCAGACUCCUACGGGAGGCAGCAGUAGGGAAUCUUCGGCAAUGGACGAAAGUCUGACCGAGCAACGCCGCGUGAGUGAAGAAGGUUUUCGGAUCGUAAAACUCUGUUGUUAGAGAAGAACAAGGAUGAGAGUAAAAUGUUCAUCCCUUGACGGUAUCUAACCAGAAAGCCACGGCUAACUACGUGCCAGCAGCCGCGGUAAUACGUAGGUGGCAAGCGUUGUCCGGAUUUAUUGGGCGUAAAGCGAGCGCAGGCGGUUUCUUAAGUCUGAUGUGAAAGCCCCCGGCUCAACCGGGGAGGGUCAUUGGAAACUGGGAGACUUGAGUGCAGAAGAGGAGAGUGGAAUUCCAUGUGUAGCGGUGAAAUGCGUAGAUAUAUGGAGGAACACCAGUGGCGAAGGCGGCUCUCUGGUCUGUAACUGACGCUGAGGCUCGAAAGCGUGGGGAGCGAACAGGAUUAGAUACCCUGGUAGUCCACGCCGUAAACGAUGAGUGCUAAGUGUUGGAGGGUUUCCGCCCUUCAGUGCUGCAGCAAACGCAUUAAGCACUCCGCC